rnacentral:rRNA from 1 species
GCGAACGAUGAACCCGCUUACGGUGGGGGAUUAGUGGCGAACGGGUGAGUAACACGUGGGCAAUCUGCCCUGCACUCUGGGACAAGCCCUGGAAACGGGGUCUAAUACCGGAUACGACUACUGACCGCAUGGUCGGUGGUGGAAAGCUCCGGCGGUGCAGGAUGAGCCCGCGGCCUAUCAGCUUGUUGGUGGGGUGAUGGCCUACCAAGGCGACGACGGGUAGCCGGCCUGAGAGGGCGACCGGCCACACUGGGACUGAGACACGGCCCAGACUCCUACGGGAGGCAGCAGUGGGGAAUAUUGCACAAUGGGCGAAAGCCUGAUGCAGCGACGCCGCGUGAGGGAUGACGGCCUUCGGGUUGUAAACCUCUUUCAGCAGGGAAGAAGCGAAAGUGACGGUACCUGCAGAAGAAGCG